GAUUAUGUGCCGUUGUUGGUGAGAAGUUGUGAGGUGAACUAUUCUUAAACGCCACUGCAAUAUUUUCUAUUAUUUUGGUAAAAAUUCCAUCGAUAUUUUUCUUUCAACAUAAGAAGAAAGUAUUGGUUUUUGGUUCAUUUUUUUGGGUUAAAAAGAGAAUCUUUUCGCUCCCCGUUAGACAUCUUGACAGUAAAAGAAAGAAAUCUGAUAGAUUUUACCUACCUGUAUCAGUACUGUCUGGUAGAAUUGAUUCGAAUAAUUAGAAGCGUGAAGAUUACUACAUAAAUUUAAUUAGAAUAGUUCAUCUCACUGACUGGGUAAGUUAGUUUUUUAAAUCCCUAUUGCUUAGUUAGGUUUUUUUUUUUAUUACUAAUACCAGUCUAUUGAUAUAGGAUAAUUUAAAACGUAUACAGUAUAUAAAUCUAUUAUACAAGUCUUGUCUUAUUCACUUUUUUGCCACAGGUCCUUGCAUCACUAUGCUUGAUAUUGAAAAUGGUUUCUCGGUAUUCUUUUUCAAGGUCACGGCUAAGGUAGAUACAGAGGACCACGCCAACUUUCUCCUGAAUCAAUUCGCCCAGGGGAAGAAAAUCGGCUCAUGGACCUUAAGUCGUGAAUUUGAUAUUCGGCAGGGAAUGGAGGGGGACAAAUUUACUGUCUACGCCCAAGUCCUAUACUAUCAGCUUGAACAGUACUGUACCGUUAUUAAAAUGGCCAUAGAUAUGUAUGAAUCGGAAUUAAUUGGUAAAGUUGUUCAAGUUCCAAGAGAGAUUUUUGAAAGAUUGUUUCCAAUGAUUAAAGAAAUCAAGUUAAAAUGUUCGGUUAAGUUGAUUAUUAGACGAAGAUAUACAUCGCCACUAAUAGGCGUUAAAGGCCAAGAACAUCGAGUAGUACAAGCUGUCGACGCCAUUCGUGAAUUAAUUAAGAAAGAAUUAUUAUAGUAAAGUCUUAUCUAUUGCCUAAGAAGUUGGGAGAAAAAAAACAAACGUUACUCAAUCAUUUCUCUCAAGUCGUUUUUUUUUAAUUUUAUUUGAAUCUUGAUCUCAAGUCUCUCUCUCACUUCGCCAGCAUUCGACAUUCAGAAACUGAGGUGAAUGCCUUCUUUUUUUUUUCGUUAAUGAAUGGAGACAUUGGCUUUGUGUGGGUAUGGCUGUACUUAUGUGGGUUGUAUGAAUAUAUGCACAAGACAUAUAUAUAUAUAUAUGUAUAAUAUUUAUAAUGUCUUGUGCACAGGCUGAACUCAUCCAUGUAUAACAUACGCCUACUUGUGAGGAGAGUGUGAAAAAUAAGACCAAAAAAAGGAAAUAAUAAUAGGAACAAAAGCAGUGAAUUCUUCUUUAAACAAAGAAGGAAGGAAAGAAAAAAAUACAAUAAAAUAGUUGAUUGGUUAGUUAGUCUGCCAAAUGUAACAAAAUGAUAAAAAAAAAAAAAUAAUUACUCCUUUUUCUAAUGAAAUUUUUUUUUUCGUUUAAAAGUUUAAAUAUAAAGUUAACACGUCAAACGUAACAUAAACGAACAAAAACAAAAAAGUUUGAGACAAACUAUAUUGUGUGUAAUAUUUUUUUUGUUUGGUUUGAACUGUUCAGUUUGUCCAUAAUUCUUAUUUUUUGUGUUUUUGCAAACUACUACAAUUUCUGACUAUAAUACGUUCAAAAAAAAGACAAACAAACAAUCUUUAAUUAUUUUGCCGAAAGUAAAGAAUAAAUAAAAAUAAUAACAACAA
rnacentral:misc_RNA from 1 species